CCUACGGGAGGCAGCAGUGGGGGAUAUUGCACAAUGGGGGGAACCCUGAUGCAGCGACGCCGCGUGGGUGAAGAAGCGCCUCGGCGCGUAAAGCCCUGUCAGCAGGGAAGAAAAUGACGGGACCUGAAGACGAAGCCACGGCUAACUACGUGCCAGCAGCCGCGGUACUACGUAGGUGGCGCGCGUUGUCCGGAUUUACUGGGUGUAGCGGGCGUAUAGGCGGGCUGACAAGUCAGAUGUGAAAUCCGGGGGCUCAACCCCCGAACUGCAUUUGAAACUGUUGGUCUUGAGUAUCGGAGAGGCAGGCGGAAUUCCUGGUGUAGCGGUGAAAUGCGUAGAUAUUAGGAGGAACACCAGUGGCGAAGGCGGUCUGCUGGACAGCAACUGACGCUGAGGCGCGAAAGCGUGGGGAGCAAACAGGAUUAGAUACCCGAGUAGUC
rnacentral:rRNA from 1 species